rnacentral:rRNA from 1 species
GUUAUAGGGUCAAGCGAAUAAGUGCAUGUGGUGGAUGCCUUGGCGAUCACAGGCGAUGAAGGACGUAGUAGCUUGCGAAAAGCUGCGGGGAGCUGGCAAACGAGCUUUGAUCCGCAGAUGUCCGAAUGGGGAAACCCGGCCCGUAUGGGUCAUCCCUUGCUGAAUACAUAGGCAAGGGAGGCGAACGCAGUGAACUGAAACAUCUAAGUAGCUGCAGGAAAAGAAAUCAACCGAGAUUCCCAAAGUAGUGGCGAGCGAAAUGGGAACAGCCUUGUACUCUUUAGCAGUAUUGUUAGCGGAACGGAAUGGAAAGUCCGGCCAUAGUGGGUGAUAGCCCCGUACGCGAAAACAGUAUUGUGGAACUAGGUGUACGACAAGUAGGGCGGGACACGUGAAAUCCUGUCUGAAGAUGGGGGGACCAUCCUCCAAGGCUGAAUACUCGUGAUCGACCGAUAGUGAACCAGUACCGUGAGGGAAAGGCGAAAAGAACCCCGGGAGGGGAGUGAAAUAGAUCCUGAAACCGCAUGCAUACAAACAGUCGGAGCCUGGAAACGGGUGACGGCGUACCUUUUGUAUAAUGGGUCAGCGACUUACAUUCAGUGGCAAGCUUAACCGAUUAGGGAAGGCGUAGCGAAAGCGAGUCCGAAUAGGGCGUUCAGUCGCUGGGUGUAGACCCGAAACCAAGUGAUCUAUCCAUGGCCAGGUUGAAGGUGCGGUAACACGUACUGGAGGACCGAACCCACUAACGUUGAAAAGUUAGGGGAUGAGCUGUGGAUAGGGGUGAAAGGCUAAACAAACUUGGAAAUAGCUGGUUCUCUCCGAAAACUAUUUAGGUAGUGCCUCGUGUCUCACCUUCGGGGGUAGAGCACUGUCAUGGUUGGGGGGUCUAUUGCUGAUUACCCCGCCAUAGCAAACUCCGAAUACCGAAGAGUGCAAUCACGGGAGACAGACAUCGGGUGCUAACGUCCGGUGUCAAGAGGGAAACAACCCAGACCGCCAGCUAAGGUCCCUAAGAUUGGCUAAGUGGGAAACGAAGUGGGAAGGCUAAAACAGUCAGGAGGUUGGCUUAGAAGCAGCCACCCUUUAAAGAAAGCGUAAUAGCUCACUGAUCGAGUCGUCCUGCGCGGAAGAUGUAACGGGGCUAAGCCAGUCACCGAAGCUGCGGAUGCACGUAAGUGCAUGGUAGGAGAGCGUUCUGUAAGCCUGUGAAGGUGUCUUGUAAAGGAUGCUGGAGGUAUCAGAAGUGCGAAUGCUGACAUGAGUAGCGAUAAAGGGGGUGAAAGGCCCCCUCGCCGUAAGCCCAAGGUUUCCUACGCAACGUUCAUCGGCGUAGGGUGAGUCGGCCCCUAAGGCGAGGCAGAGAUGCGUAGCUGAUGGGAAGCAGGUUAAUAUUCCUGCACCGUCGUAUGAUGCGAUGGGGGGACGGAUCGCGGAAGGUUGUCCGGGUGUUGGAAGUCCCGGUCCCUACAUUGGAGAUGGCACUUAGGCAAAUCCGGGUGCGUGAUUCAAGGGUGUGGGGCGAGCGACGUUAGGUCGCGAAGCAAUUGGAAGUGGUUCCAAGAAAAGCCUCUAAGCUUCAGUCAUACGAGACCGUACCGCAAACCGACACAGGUGGGCGAGAUGAGUAUUCUAAGGCGCUUGAGAGAACUCGGGAGAAGGAACUCGGCAAAUUGGUACCGUAACUUCGGGAUAAGGUACGCCCUUGUAGUUUGACUGGCUCGCGCCAGAAGGAUGAAGGGGUUGCAAUAAAAUGGUGGCUGCGACUGUUUAAUAAAAACACAGCACUCUGCAAACACGAAAGUGGACGUAUAGGGUGUGACGCCUGCCCGGUGCCGGAAGAUUAAAUGAUGGGGUGCAAGCUCUUGAUUGAAGUCCCGGUAAACGGCGGCCGUAACUAUAACGGUCCUAAGGUAGCGAAAUUCCUUGUCGGGUAAGUUCCGACCUGCACGAAUGGCGUAACGAUGGCCACACUGUCUCCUCCCGAGACUCAGCGAAGUUGAAGUGUUUGUGAUGAUGCAAUCUCCCCGCGGCUAGACGGAAAGACCCCAUGAACCUUUACUGUAGCUUUGCAUUGGACUUUGAACCGAUCUGUGUAGGAUAGGUGGGAGGCUUUGAAACCGGGACGCUAGUUUCGGUGGAGCCGACCUUGAAAUACCACCCUGGUUUGUUUGAGGUUCUAACCUUGGCCCGUGAAUCCGGGUCGGGGACAGUGCAUGGUAGGCAGUUUGACUGGGGCGGUCUCCUCCCAAAGUGUAACGGAGGAGUUCGAAGGUACGCUUGGUACGGUCGGACAUCGUACCUAAAGUGCAAUGGCAAAAGCGUGCUUAACUGCGAGACCGACAAGUCGAGCAGGUGCGAAAGCAGGACAUAGUGAUCCGGUGGUUCUGUAUGGAAGGGCCAUCGCUCAACGGAUAAAAGGUACUCUGGGGAUAACAGGCUGAUACCGCCCAAGAGUUCAUAUCGACGGCGGUGUUUGGCACCUCGAUGUCGGCUCAUCUCAUCCUGGGGCUGUAGCCGGUCCCAAGGGUAUGGCUGUUCGCCAUUUAAAGAGGUACGUGAGCUGGGUUUAAAACGUCGUGAGACAGUUUGGUCCCUAUCUGCCGUGGGCGUUGGAAUCUUGACGGGGGCUGCUCCUAGUACGAGAGGACCGGAGUGGACGUACCGCUGGUGUACCUGUUGUCUCGCCAGAGGCAUCGCAGGGUAGCUAUGUACGGAAGAGAUAACCGCUGAAAGCAUCUAAGCGGGAAACUCGCCUGAAGAUGAGGAUUCCCUGGAGACUUGAUCUCCCUGAAGGGUCGUUCGAGACCAGGACGUUGAUAGGCUGGGUGUGGAAGCGCAGUAAUGCGUUCAGCUAACCAGUACUAAUUGCCCGUGCGGCUUGAUCCUAUAACC